GCUAAUAGCUGCUGCAUGGUCAGUCUGAUUGUUUCCCAUGUUUUUCAGGAUUCGAUAAACGCUCUGGUCCUGGAUUUGGACUACCCGGCACUACGAAAGAACAAAAACAUUGAGACCUUCUUAAACAGAUAUGAGAACAUUAUCAGGGAGCUUCGAAAUCUUCAGAUGAAGUCUGAAGACUUUGAAAAAGUUAAAAUCAUCGGGCGAGGGGCGUUUGGUGAAGUCCAGUUGGUCCGACACAAACCGUCCCGGAAAGUUUACGCCAUGAAGCUGCUGAGUAAGUUCGAGAUGAUCAAGCGCUCCGACUCGGCGUUCUUCUGGGAAGAGAGAGACAUCAUGGCCUUUGCAAACAGUCCCUGGGUUGUACAGUUGUGCUGUGCCUUCCAAGACGAGCACUACCUCUACAUGGUGAUGGAGUACAUGCCAGGAGGGGACCUGGUCAACCUCACCAGCACCUACGACGUUCCCGAGAAAUGGGCCAAGUUCUACGCAGCAGAGGUGGUGAUGGCUCUGGACUCAAUCCACUCCAUGGGAUUCAUCCACCGCGACAUCAAGCCGGACAACAUGCUGCUGGACCAACACGGACACCUGAAGCUGGCCGACUUCGGGACCUGCAUGAAGAUGGACUCUACGGGGAUGGUCCAUUGCGACACAGCCGUCGGCACUCCGGACUACAUCUCUCCAGAGGUGCUGAAGUCUCAGGGAGGAGAUGGGUUUUACGGGAGGGAAUGCGACUGGUGGUCCGUAGGCGUCUUCAUUUUCGAGAUGCUUGUGGGCGACACUCCAUUCUAUGCCGACUCUUUGGUGGGAACGUACAGUAAGAUCAUGGACCACAAGAACUCCCUAAACUUUCCCGACGAUGUGGACAUCUCCAAAGAUGCCAAGAGUAUAAUCUGUGCCUUCCUGACUGACAGAGACGUACGGUUGGGCAGAAACGGAGUGGAGGAAAUCAAACGGCACCCGUUCUUCAAGAACGACCUGUGGACGUUUGACACCAUCAGGGACACUGUCGCCCCGGUGGUCCCGGAGCUGAGCAGCGACAUAGACACCAGUAAUUUUGACGAGAUCGAAGACGACAAAGGCGAUGUCGAAACAUUCCCCACACCUAAGGCUUUUGUCGGAAAUCAGCUACCGUUUGUUGGCUUCACCUACUUCAAAGAGGACCAGUUGUUAAAUUCUGCCAACAAUUCCUCAGUGGCACACGAUAACGCCAAAGGAGAGUCAGCUGCGCUUCAGAAGAAACUUCACCAUCUGGAGCUUCAGAUGAAUAAAGAUAAACAUGUCAAAGAUGAACUAGAGAACAAAUGCAGAGCUGCAACCGUCCGCUUAGAAAAAAUAACCAAAGAACUUGAGGAAGAGGUGAGCAGCAGAAAGAGCCUGGAAUCAAAUCUGAGGCAGCUGGAGCGAGAGAAGGCCCUGCUGCAGCACAAAAGUCUGGAGAGCCACCGGAAGGCCGAGAACGAGGCCGACAGGAAGCGCUGCCUGGAGAACGAAGUCAACAGCCUUCGAGACCAGCUGGACGACAUGAAGAAAAGAAAUCAAAACUCGCAUAUUUCCAACGAGAAGAACCUUCACCUGCAGAAACAGCUGGAAGAAGCCAACACGCUGCUGCGGGCCGAGACAGAAGCGGCGACGAGGCUCCGCAAAGCUCAGACGGAGAGCAGCAAGCAGCUGCAGCAGCUGGAGGCCAACGUGCGCGAGCUGCAGGAUAAAUGCUGCCUGCUGGAGCGCAGCAAGCUGAGCCUGGAGAAGGAGUGCAUCAGCCUGCAGGCGGCGCUGGAGUCAGAGAGGCGGGAGCACAGCCAAGGCUCAGAGACCAUCACUGACCUGAUGGGACGUAUUUCUGGGCUGGAGGAAGAAGCUCGCCAGCAGAGACAGGCUCUGGCCAAAGCUGAGACUGAGAAGAGGCAGCUUCAGGAGAAAUACACUGACCAGGAGAAGGAGAUGAGCAACAAAGAGAUAGAGCUGACCUACAAACUAAAGGUUCUGCAGCAAGAGCUGGAGCAGGAGGAGGCCUCGCAUAAAGCCACCAGAGGUCUGCUGGCAGACAAGAGCAAGAUUAAAGUGACCAUCGAGGGCGCCAAGUCCGAGUCCAUGAAGGAACUGGAGCAGAAGCUGGCGGAGGAGCGAGCGGCCAAGCUGCGGCUGGAGAACCGAAUCCUGGAGCUGGAGAAACACAGCAGCAUGAUGGACUGCGAUUACAAACAGGCUUUACAGAAACUGGACGAGCUGCGCAGACACAAGGACCGACUCACAGAGGAGGUGAAGAACUUGACGCUUAAGAUCGAGCAGGAGACCCAGAAGCGUAACUUGACUGUGAACGACCUGAAGGCCCAGAACCAGCAGCUGAACGUCCUGAGAACCUCGGAGAAGCAGCUGAAGCAGGAAACCAACCACCUGCUGGAUAUAAAACGCAGCCUGGAGAAACAGAACCAGGAGCUGCGCAAAGAAAGACAGGACACAGAUGGACAAAUGAAGGAAUUACAGGACCAGCUGGAGGCUGAGCAGUAUUUUUCUACUCUUUACAAGACUCAGGUUCGGGAACUAAAGGAGGAAUGUGAGGAGAAAACUAAACUCUACAAGGAGGUGCAGCAGUCUCUGCAGGAGCUGCAGGAGGAGAGGGACUCGUUGGCGGCACAGCUGGAGAUCACUCUGACGAAGGCGGACUCGGAGCAGCUGGCCCGCUCCAUCGCUGAGGAGCAGUACUCUGAUCUGGAGAAGGAGAAGAUAAUGAAGGAGCUGGAGCUGAAGGAGAUGAUGGCUCGGCACCGCCAGGAGCUGGCUGAGAAGGACAUCACCAUCGGCUCGCUGGAGGAGGCCAACAGGACUCUGACCAGCGACGUUGCCAAUCUGGCCAACGAAAAGGAGGAACUGAACAACAAACUGAAGGAAGCACUUGAAGAGUCGGACAAGUCCAAGGAUUGGGAGCAGCAGAUCAACCAGAUGAAGCAGUCGUUUGAGAAGCAGCUGCAGUCAGAGCGCACUCUGAAAACUCAGGCCGUCAAUAAACUGGCGGAGAUCAUGAACAGGAAGGAAGUCCGCGGGGGAGGCAGCCGGCGUGGAAACGACACAGACAUGCGGCGAAAGGAGAAGGAGAACAGGAAGCUGCAGCUGGAGCUGAGGUCAGAGAAGGAAAAGCUCAACAGCACCAUGAUCAAAUACCAGAAGGAGAUCAACGAGACGCAAGCACAACUGGCAGAAGAGAGUCAGAUGCGCAUUGAGCUGCAGAUGGCUCUGGACAGCAAAGACAGCGACAUCGAGCAGUUGAGGAAUCUGCUGCAGUCGCUUAGCGUUCAGUCCAUGGACUCUGCCAGCGUCAGCAGCGGGCCAGACGUUGACGCUGAUGACGCUUACGCAGAGUCGAGACUUGAGGGCUGGCUCUCUCUUCCCGUCAGAAACAACACCAAGAAGUUUGGAUGGGAGAAAAAGUACGUUGUCGUGAGCAGUAAGAAGAUUCUCUUCUACAACAGUGAACACGACAGAGAGCAGUCCAUCCCCUGCAUGGUUCUCGAUAUUGACAAACUUUUCCACGUGAGGCCCGUCACUCAGACGGAUGUGUACCGCGCUGAAGCCAAGGAGAUUCCCAGGAUAUUCCAGAUCCUGUAUGCCAACGAAGGCGAGAGCAAAAAGGAGCCGGAGUUUCCCGUGGAGCCGCUUCCCAUCGGCGAGAAGUCCAGCUACAUCUGCCACAAAGGCCACGAGUUCAUCCCCACGCUCUACCACUUCCCCACCAACUGCGAGGCGUGCACCAAGCCGCUGUGGAACAUGUUCAAGCCGCCGCCGGCUCUGGAGUGCCGGCGCUGCCACAUCAAGUGCCACAAGGACCACAUGGACAAGAAGGAGGAGAUCAUCGCUCCCUGCAAAGUGAACUACGACGUGUCUACGGCCAAGAACCUGCUGCUGCUGGCCACGUCCCAAGAGGAGCAGCAGAAGUGGGUGAGCCGGUUGGUGAAGAAGAUUCCCAAGAAGCCUCUGCCGCCGGAGCAAUUUGGUCGCUCCUCGCCACGCACCUCCAUGAGGGUCCAGUCCAGCCAGUCCAUGAGGAGGCCGAGCCGACCGCUCCCCACCAGCAAAAGCAGCUCCUAUGACAUGAGCCGCAGAUCAAAUGGGUUAAAAACGAAGCAAGUCGACUCCUGCAGCACUUGGUACAGCUGAGUCCUCCUCUGAUCUUGUUCUCCGUGUAAACGACCGAGUUCCUGGAUGCGUUUGUUUAACCCUGCUGGAUGGGUCUCUGGGGCGGUGUUUCCUUCGAAGCUCCAUCUGCAGAUCUGGAACUCCAUGUCAAUUCGCCUCCUGCUUCAUCCUGGGAGGAAAAUCUCUCCACUCUCCUUGUCGCUCAGCUCCUUUCAGCCACUUCACAGCUACCGAGCUUGACUGCGCUCUUUUCUGCGAGCUGGUUGGCUUGUGAACAAAGUCUGUCGUGCUUCUGGAGUAGCUCCUUCUGUUUCCAGAGGAAGCAGAAGAGCUCUUUGGAGAGGCUGCAUGGAUGGAUGGGGAUUCAAUUACCUCAAUGAUUCUCACCAGGAAACAGUCUAAUGGAGGGGACAUGCAGGAAACUCCUGCACAUCACCUUUGGAGGUUCUAGUGGCCAAAAAUGAGACAUUCUGCUAAAAGAAACUGUGAACAGUUCGAAGAGUUUUAAGGGGAACACGACACUUGGUUGAUUCAGUAGUUUUUUGUUUUUUUUCCCUCCCAAAUGACUUGUUCUCUCAACACAAUGAUUGUAGCUUUUAGCUUUCCACAGCUCUGGUUUCAGGUGAGUCACAGGAUCCGAUUAAGGUACAACAAGCUGUUAGUUCACGUAAAGUCACAGAGUAGGGGAACGCAGUGAAUCCUUAUUUUGCAGUAAAUGAUUCUCUGGUCGCCUCAGACUUAUUAUGAUUUCUGUCACUGAAACACUCGUUUUGUCUGCAGUAGACGUUACAACGUGAGCAGCAUCCUGCUCUGAAGGCAUUAAAAGGAACAAACCUGCACUGUCCGACCCGAGGGAUAAUGUUUACCUAAAUGCACCGAUCAUAUUUUCCUCCUUUUGUUUGCGUUUGAAGGUAGAGGUGGUGCUCCACCAGAGGCGGCACCCAGGCAUCGUAUUACCAAAUAUACUUGACUGAAGCUUUUUAUUUUACCGCCAGCUGCUUUGGAGUGAACUUGCAUGUUUCUCACGCGCCGUCACCCCUUCCAGGUUGUUUUUUGAAAGCAGCGGUGACGAUGAAGGUAUGCAAAACCUCGUCCUGAGCAGCACUUAGUCCACUGAAGGUUUGUUCCGAUGUUUUGGUGUCAAGAGUGACCGAACUCCCAAGUUUGGACACGUCGUCGUGUGAAUGUGGCUCGUACAGGCGCCUGGAGAGCAAACUGUGUGUGUUUUGUGGAAUUUUGUGUUUUGUGUUCCAACAGCUCUCCUUUAACCACGAAGCAUGUUUUAUACAUAUAAAUAUCUACAGUAUAUAUUUUACAUGCCAUACUGUGCACAUUAUAUUAUUUAUACAGCCUUGUCCACUUUGUAUUUAAGGGCCUUUACAUCCAGAUUGCAUGUUUGCUACCAAACAGCUAGAAUGAUGAUGAUUAUAUUAACUUCUUAUAGAAAUAAAGACAUGGAUGUGC